AUUGUAUAAAUAAAGGAUAUACUAAAAUUGGAAUGAUAGAGAGAAGAUUAGCAUGGCCCCUGUGCAAGGAUGACAUGCACAUUUGUGAAAUGUUGCAUAUUUUG